rnacentral:SRP_RNA from 1 species
GCCAGGCUUGGUGGCACGUGUCUGUAGUCCCAGCUAUUCAGGAGGCUGAGGCAGGAGGAUCUCUUGAGUCCAGCAGUUCUGGGCUGUGUAGUGCGUUAUUCCAAUCGGGUGUCUGCGCUAAGUUCGGCAUCAAUAUGGUGACCUCCUGGGAGCAGGGGACCACCAGGUUGUCUAAGGAGGGGUGAACUGGCCCAGGUUGGAAAGGGAGCAGUUCAAAACUCCCAUGCUGAUCAGUAGUGGGAUCACGCCUGUGAAUGGCCACUGCACUCCAGCCUGGGCAACAUAGCAAGACCCUGUAUCUU